CUCAACCGAGGAACUGCAUCGGAUACUGCCGGACUCGAGUACAGGAGGGGAGAGUGGAAUUCCUGGUGGAGCGGUGAAAUGCGUAGAUAUCAGGAGGAACGCCGGUGGCGAAAGCGACUCUCUGGCCUGUUACUGACGCUGAGGUGCGAAAGCCAGGGGAGCAAACGGGAUUAGAUACCCCGGUAGUCCUGGCCCUAAACGAUGGGCACUAAGUAGAGGGAGUUCCGAUACUUUCUCUGCUGCAGCAAAUGUGUUAAGUGCCCCGCCUGGGGAGUAUGGUCGCAAGGCUAAAACUCAAAGGAAUUGACGGGGGCUCACACAAGCGGUGGAGCAUGUUGUUCAAUUCGAAGCAACGCGAAGAACCUUACCUGGGUUUGACAUGCUUGGGACCGCCUAUGAAAGUAGGUUUCCCUUCGGGGCCC
rnacentral:rRNA from 1 species